rnacentral:lncRNA from 1 species
UUCCCCUGGACCGGAGGCUGCCAUCUCCAGUCCUACCCACUCCGACGCUGGCUGGUGCCGGGGGCCGGGACGCUCCGUACGCCGCCCGCCAGGGUGUGGAGCCGCACUGGGGCAAGAUCAGGUGGGACAGCCCAAAGACUCCGGGCCAAGUUCCUGGGGGACUCGGCGGAGAUGGAAGAUGAUUCUCGAAGCUCUCCAUUUCCUUAAUUUUGAGCAGACAGAUGCAUGGACCACUGCAGACAUGACAUGCUUCCUUACCAGCACCCCAUCUUGAGGUAGCUGGGAAGCUGUAUCCACCAAUGGGAAUGUCCUGCAGUUCCCCAGCAGGAAUUUCUGUGUACUAGACUAGAGCUUCAGUGGUUGACCUGAAGAUAGCGUUGGUAUUCCCUGGUUUUUGCUCUUCCAGUUCUUCCAGUGGUUUUGUAUGCACCCAUUCCUGACAUUUAAUUCUCCUCUGCUUGAAAUGCA